rnacentral:rRNA from 1 species
UAGCCGUUGGAAACGACGAAUAAUACCCUAUGAAACUAUCACUUCGCAUGAAGCGAUAGUCAAAGUGUUAGCGGUGUAAGAUGGACUUGCGUCUGAUUAGCUAGUUGGUGAGAAAAAAGCCCACCAAGGCAACGAUCAGUAGCCGGCUUGAGAGAGUGUACGGCCACAUUGGGACUGAGACACGGCCCAG